rnacentral:rRNA from 1 species
GUGCAAGCGUUAAUCGGAAUUACUGGGCGUAAAGCGCGCGUAGGUGGUUUGAUAAGCGAGAUGUGAAAGCCCCGGGCUUAACCUGGGAACG